ensembl:lncRNA
AGGGGGCCUCCUCCCUGGGUAAAAUCGCCGGGCGUCUCCACAGAAGAUGCUUCCUGUAGGCGGUGACUGUUUGGAAAGAAACCUACGAGAAGCUUUUUGAUGUCAGCUGUCCUCGGGGACCUUCCCAGGGCAUUUUCGCAGCCUGUCCCAGCCCACAAAACAUUGCCUUUCGUGCUUCAUCCCCAGCCAUCAAAUCUUCCUCAAGCUUGGUGCAGUAUUCGUCCACCACCCAUUCCUGAAACUACGCAAAUGAGAACAUUUGUGGUUUGAAGCAGCAGAGCACGUAUUGCACCUAUAAUGCCUGCCAUGGAUCUUUCUUUCCUUCCUACUCCCCCAGCCCCUUGCCCUGAGAAGCACAGUAUUUCUCUUCUUUCCUCCUUUCCCUCUCUCCGUAUCUACACAUUUCCGAAGCCUUCAGGUUCUCUUCCCCCUUUCCAGUAGCUGGAGAUUCCCAACUCCGUCGAAGUGGAUUCCCCCGGCUCCCUGAGAGCUGGGAAAGCAUCCCAAGCCAGGCAGAUUUAGUUCCACGUCCAUUGGCCCACGGAGGCAUGGACACUCAGGACAUGGCCCAAAUGCUUUCUGCUCCCCUGGCUGAACAGUGAGCUAAUUUAAACCGGAGACUGCAGAAAUAGGACCACUGAAAAACAACUUCAGCACUGACAGGAUUCCUGGAAAGCGACCCCGAGGGCCAGGACUCUGGGAGACCGUGGUUAACCUAAGAAGUAGCUGUUCUCUAGUCAGAUCUCCUGUUUUCAAAAUACCAAAGCUACGGGACAGAUGAUCAUAGUUCGGAGUGAAGCCUGCCAUUCCCGCUCCCGGACUGGCUCGACUGAGCUUGUAGGUGUUCACCAACCAAGGAUUGAAGACCGAGGCAGAAAUGACGCCCAGGCUGACAGGCCAGCGGGUACUGGAGGAGCCAAGCUCAUCUUGACAAACACAAACAUUCAUCCUCACCCACAAGGCAUGGUCACCUUGAGUAGGUGUGGCUGUAAAAUAAAAAUGAGUAUAUAGGGCCGGGGAUGUAGCUCAGUGGUGCUGCACCUGCCUUGCAAGCACAAGAGCCUGUGUUCAAUUCCCACUACCACAAAAAAAAUUUUUUAAUUAAAAAAUUAAAAAAAUGACUAU